UCCCGACUGGACCAGAGAUCAUCCCUCACUUCAGCUCAAGCCUGAUAGCUUUAAAGAAAGAUGCCUCAGACUCACGCUGUAGCUCUAAGGUGGUGAGAAUUGCUGGAGACAGGCCGUAGACACUAACACAAAUACGCACUUUUCCAUGCCCAUGAUCUGAGCUCUGGGCGGGAAUGACAAAAUAUCCAAGCGGUUAGCAAGACACUAAGACACUAACUGUGCUGAAGAAGACUCUGCCUAUCAACUGUUUACUCAUAGGACAUCACAACUGUGAUUGGCUACACUGAUGGUACCUGAUGGUAGAGAACCAGAAGAUUCCAGCCUUAAAUUCUUGUACUGGCUCUAAGUAGCUGUGGGCUUUGUUUUGUUUUUUUUUGUUUGGCUGUUUUUUUUAUUUUGUGUUUUUUCUAAAAAGCACGGUAUCUGAGCUUGUGUGUAGAAUGGUAACAGUGGUAACAACAUCCACCUCAGAAUUUGCUGGGGAAAUUAAAUAUGAUGAUAAAAAAUAGCGUAAUAAAUUAAAUAAAUAUUAUUCUCUUGGAACCUCUUA